GAUGAACGCUGGCGGCGUGCCUAAUACAUGCAGUCGAACGAAACUUCUUUAUCACCGAGUGCUUGCACUCACCGAUAAAGAGUUGAGUGGCGAACGGGUGAGUAACACGUGGGCAACCUGCCCAAAAGAGGGGGAUAACACUUGGAAACAGGUGCUAAUACCGCAUAACCAUAGUUACCGCAUGGUAACUAUGUAAAAGGUGGCUAUACUACCGCUUUUGGAUGGGCCCGCGGCGCAUUAGCUAGUUGGUAGGGUAAAGGCUUACCAAGGCAAUGAUGCGUAGCCGAAGUGAGAGGUUGAUCGGCCACAUUGGGACUGAGACACGGCCCAAACUCCUACGGGAGGCAGCAGUAGGGAAUCUUCCACAAUGGGCGAAAGCCUGAUGGAGCAACGCCGCGUGGGUGAAGAAGGUCUUCGGAUCGUAAAACCCUGUUGUUAGAGAAGAAAGUGCGUGAGAGUAACUGUUCACGUUUCGACGGUAUCUAACCAGAAAGCCACGGCUAACUACGUG
rnacentral:rRNA from 1 species